AGAGUUUGAUCCUGGCUCAGAAUCAACGCUGGCGGCGUGCCUAACACAUGCAAGUCGCGCGCGAAAGGGGGGCAACCCCCAAGUAGAGCGGCGCACGGGUGAGUAACGCGUGGGUGAUCUGCCUCCGAGUGGGGAAUAACAGCGGGAAACUGCUGCUAAUACCGCAUGACAUCCUCGGGUCGUACUGAGGAUCAAAGCCGGGGACCGCAAGGCCUGGCGCUUGGAGAUGAGCCCGCGUCCGAUUAGCUAGUUGGUGGGGUAAUGGCCUACCAAGGCUUCGAUCGGUAGCCGGCCUGAGAGGGCGGACGGCCACACUGGGACUGAGACACGGCCCAGACUCCUACGGGAGGCAGCAGUGGGGAAUUUUUCGCAAUGGGGGAAACCCUGACGAAGCAACGCCGCGUGGAGGAUGAAGGCCUUCGGGUCGUAAACUCCUGUCGACUGGGAAGAAUGCACCUGACCUAAUACGUCAAAGUGUUGACUGUACCGGUGGAGGAAGCCACGGCUAACUCUGUGCCAGCAGCCGCGGUAAUACAGAGGUGGCAAGCGUUGUUCGGAAUUACUGGGCGUAAAGGGCGCGUAGGCGGCCCGUCAAGUCCCGUGUGAAAGCCCCCGGCUCAACCGGGGAACGGCGCGGGAAACUAGCAGGCUUGAGUUCGGGAGAGGGAAGCGGAAUUCCGGGUGUAGCGGUGAAAUGCGCAGAUAUCCGGAGGAACACCGGUG
rnacentral:rRNA from 1 species